rnacentral:rRNA from 1 species
GCCAGACUCCUACGGGAGGCAGCAGUGGGGAAUAUUGCACAAUGGGGGAAACCCUGAUGCAGCGACGCCGCGUGAGUGAAGAAGUAAUUCGUUAUGUAAAGCUCUAUCAGCAGGGAAGAAAAUGACGGUACCUGAGUAAGAAGCCCCGGCUAACUACGUGCCAGCAGCCGCGGUAAUACGUAGGGGGCAAGCGUUAUCCGGAUUUACUGGGUGUAAAGGGAGCGUAGACGGCCAGACAAGUCAGAAGUGAAAGCCCAGGGCUCAACCCUGGGACUGCUUUUGAAACUGCCGGGCUGGAGUGCAGGAGAGGUAAGCGGAAUUCCUAGUGUAGCGGUGAAAUGCGUAGAUAUCAGGAGGAACACCGGUGGCGAAGGCGGCCUGCUGGACUGCGACUGACGUUGAGGCCCGAAAGCGUGGGGAGCAAACAGGAUUAGAUACCCGAGUA